ACUUUCAGCAACGGAUCUCUUGGCUCUCGCAUCGAUGAAGAACGCAGCGAAAUGCGAUAAGUAAUGUGAAUUGCAGAAUUCAGUGAAUCAUCGAAUCUUUGAACGCACCUUGCGCUCCUUGGUAUUCCGAGGAGCAUGCCUGUUUGAGUGUCAUUAAU
rnacentral:rRNA from 1 species